rnacentral:lncRNA from 1 species
CCCAAGAAAAAGGUCAGCUUAGCCUUACAGGCAGUGAAGGAAGAGCUGACGAGGAGAUCAGCGCGGCUCUCAGUUACGUCUGCAACUGUAAAAGUGGAAGAAACGAAGCCAAAAAAAGAAGCAGGAAAGGAUACAUUUUCAGACAAAAUAGUGCAAACAAAAGAAAAAAGGGGACAAAAGGGAAAACAGGCCAAAAUGGUGAACCAAGAAACUAAAAAAAGAUUUACCUGCAGAAAACCAAGGAGAGUCUAGCUGCCGAUGAAGCCAGAGAGAAAGAAGCCACAUCUGAU